UAUUGGACAAUGGGCGCAAGCCUGAUCCAGCAAUACCGCGUGUGUGAAGAAGGCCUUAGGGUUGUAAAGCACUUUCAAUUGGGAGGAAAACCUGCCGGUCAAUACCCGGUAGCUUGACAUUACCUUUAGAAGAAGCACCGGCUAACUCCGUGCCAGCAGCCGCGGUAAUACGGAGGGUGCGAGCGUUAAUCGGAAUUACUGGGCGUAAAGCGUGCGUAGGCGGUUCGUUAAGUCAGAUGUGAAAGCCCUGGGCUCAACCUGGGAACUGCAUUUGAAACUGGCGGGCUAGAGUUUAGUAGAGGGGAGUGGAAUUUCAGGUGUAGCGGUGAAAUGCGUAGAUAUCUGAAGGAACACCAGUGGCGAAGGCGACUCCCUGGACUAGAACUGACGCUGAGUACGAAA
rnacentral:rRNA from 1 species